rnacentral:pre_miRNA from 1 species
UAAAAGCACAUUUCGCCAGCACGUGUACUUUCCACCUCGUCUGUGAUUUUGGUUUUUAACG